rnacentral:tRNA from 1 species
GAGAUGUUAGUAAAAAAAUUACACCACCUUGUCAAGAUGAAGUUAUGGGUUAAAUCCCCAUACAUCUCCG